CAGCUGACUCUUGACAGGGGAGCCUUUUACAGUAAUGUAAAAGUGAAAAUUCGGCUAUAUGCUAGGACGUCCUGAGAGCCUUUACCACUUUUUCAAAGUAACAGCGUAAAGGAUUGGAUAAUUAGCAGGCAACCUCAACGAUUGUUGAGAGAGUCCUCAGAGGCCAUACGCCGGACAUCCAAACAGCUCAGGCUGAGGAUGAUGACAUGGUCCAGACUGCAACAUCGG
rnacentral:ncRNA from 1 species